CGGGCGUCGAGUGGCGACUGCCGUUUCUUCGGUGUACAAUCGAGUUCUCGGGUAAAGCCGACGAUUGAUCGUAAUUCUGACGACAGCUUCAAUAUUUCUCUACGAUAAUUCACAAUUGAAUAGCAUUCAAUAAAUAUAAUGGCGAAGAUACUGUUUGGACUUAUUGCUGUUCUGUUUAUCAUUGCGAUGAUACAUGCCGCGGAUGCAAAGAAAAAAGAUUAUGAGUUAUGCACCUAUAAUAGUGAUUGCUAUUCGGACAACUGCGCUCCAUUUACAUAUAACUCGGGGGUAACACAGUAUGUAUGCCAAUACAAAUACGAUCCAAGUCGUGGAUACAAAUAAAAAAAACCACAUGAUUGAAGAAGACAAUAGACAUUUUUAUAAUUUUAAUUACCUUCUCUUGAAUAAUUAUCUUUAAUAAACCAAUAAAAAAUAAUGAAAACAA